GCGAGCUAACUCGGGAUUUCUAUACAAGAAACAAACACAGUGUUCUACGCUACAGGGACAAGAUUGUUUUAAAUGUGCUAGCUAACUUGUAUUUGAAAACUAGAUCGAAACACCGUGUUGCUGGGAUCCAUACACGAAAAGAAAGAUGAUAGACAGCCUACUAGCAUCACGAUGGCCACGCCAACCCGAAAACAAAUCCUCCCGCACGGAUACGGUGGCAUCGCAUUUUUCAGCUCUUCUGGGGCCUUCGUAGCUUAGGGAGCUAUCUACCAGUGGUGGUUAUGCUGGUCUUUUCGUCACCAGCAGCAUUUACGCUUCCAUCUUGACAAGACAAGAGCGCAAGAACAAAAAGGAAAAAAAAAUGGUAGACCUCGCAAGAACAGGGGCCUCCUGGCAAGAGACUUCGCACAGGCAGCCUUCCUUAAAUGUAUCGCUACGGUCGACCGCUGUGAAGUACGCCGGGAUUUAUCUUUCUCUCCUUGGGGACUCUGGUUUUGAGGAAGAUUUCCACCGGCCUCAGGAACGAGUAAGAAUCAACGUCCUGUUCUUUCCAGAGGCGAAAAAUCUUUCCAGAGGCAAAAGGAGGCGCUUGGAAGUAAGUGGCUUUAAGUCGAGCGCCGUGGUGAUGGUAGCCUUCUUUCUAAGCUGGAGUGGCAGGGACGCGUUUAUGUUUACUGCGCUCGAGUGUUAUGUAUUUCCCGUGUGAUUCACAAAGUUGUUAACGUUUUCCUUUCUUGUACGUUCUCGACCAUAAUCAUCUUUGUAGGACGAUGAA